GUGCUGGCUUCCACAGCACAGAUACUAAAAUUAAAAUGACACAGAGAUUAGUAUGCCCCCUGCAAAAGAAUGACACACAGAUUUUGAAGCGUUCCCUAAUAAA